UACAGAGGGUGCGAGCGUUGUUCGGAAUUAUUGGGCGUAAAGGGCGCGUAGGCGGCGCCACAAGUCACUUGUGAAAACUCUGGGCUCAACCCAGAGCCUGCAGGCGAAACUGUGGUGCUGGAGUAUGGGAGAGGUGCGUGGAAUUCCCGGUGUAGCGGUGAAAUGCGUAGAUAUUCGCAAGAACACCAGUGGCGAAGGCGGCUGUCUGGUCCGGUUCUGACGCUGAGGCGCGAAAGCGUGGGGAGCAAACAGG
rnacentral:rRNA from 1 species